UAGCAAGAAGUCAGACAA
rnacentral:rRNA from 1 species